UACAGAGGGUGCAAGCGUUGCUCGGAUUUACUGGGCGUAAAGCGUACGCAGACGGCUUGGAAAGUCGGACGUGAAAGCCCCGGGCUCAACCCGGGAAAUGCGUCCGAAACCACCAUGCUUGAGUAUGGGAGAGGGAAGCGGAAUUCCUGGUGUAGAGGUGAAAUUCGUAGAUAUCAGGAGGAACAUCGGCGGCGAAGGCGGCUUCCUGGACCAUUACUGACGUUCAGGUGCGAAAGCGUGGGUAGCAAACAGG
rnacentral:rRNA from 1 species